CAGUAGCCGCGGGAAUACGAAGGGGGCUAGCGUUGUUCGGAAUUACUGGGCGUAAAGCGCACGUAGGCGGAUAUUUAAGUCAGGGGUGAAAUCCCAGAGCUCAACUCUGGAACUGCCUUUGAUACUGGGUAUCUUGAGUAUGGAAGAGGUGAGUGGAAUUCCGAGUGUAGAGGUGAAAUUCGUAGAUAUUCGGAGGAACACCAGUGGCGAAGGCGGCUCACUGGUCCAUUACUGACGCUGAGGUGCGAAAGCGUGGGGAGCAAACAGGAUUAGAUACCCGAGUAGUCCCUGUCUCUUAUAC
rnacentral:rRNA from 1 species